CAGUUCUUGUAUCUACUACUCACAUCCCAAGAGGUAAACUCUCCCAAUACUGUGUGUGUGGAUGAUAAGAACAAUCUCUGGGUGGGAAAAUGGAAAACUAACACAGUGACAGUGUACAAGUAUCUACAGUGAACAUUAUAUCUCCAUACAUCAAUUAAGUACUGUGUGUAUGUUGUGAGACAAUGUAACAACAACACUGUGAUAGUGUACAAAUACUGGUAUCUACAGUGUACAUUGAAGUAAAUAUAAUUCAUGUUUGUUCGUUAUGUUUAUCAUUAGAUUAAUUUCAAUUUCAGUUGACUAUUAACUAUGCAGGUAUUAACAUUAUUUGUGUUUUUCAUUUUUUUUUUUAUAUUUAUGAGAAACCACUGGCUUAGAUCUUGUCCAACUAUCAAAUGACUUAUUUGCGAUACUCUGUAUAAUAACUAUAUAGUAUGAUGGAAGAUGAU
rnacentral:misc_RNA from 1 species